rnacentral:lncRNA from 1 species
GCGUCACUGAUGAGUCUUAUGUAGACGAAUUGAUGUCUGGCCUAUAAAAUCCUGGUACCUUUGAUAACUAAUUAGACAACUGAAGGAUGCCAAGUGAUUACAAAAGCUCACAUGGUGACUUUAUAGUAGAUAAAAUAUGGCUGAGAUGUAAGCUUUGAAACAGAAUCAGGAAUAUCUCAUCAGCAUGCUAAAUAUAAUGCUUUGAGUCAGUGCUUUGUCA